AUUGAACGCUGGCGGCAUGCCUUACACAUGCAAGUCGAACGGUAACAGGUCUUCGGAUGCUGACGAGUGGCGAACGGGUGAGUAAUACAUCGGAACGUGCCUAGUAGUGGGGGAUAACUACUCGAAAGAGUGGCUAAUACCGCAUGAGAUCUACGGAUGAAAGCAGGGGAUCGCAAGACCUUGUGCUACUAGAGCGGCCGAUGGCAGAUUAGGUAGUUGGUGGGAUAAAAGCUUACCAAGCCGACGAUCUGUAGCUGGUCUGAGAGGACGAUCAGCCACACUGGGACUGAGACACGGCCCAGACUCCUACGGGAGGCAGCAGUGGGGAAUGUUGGACGAUGGGCGCAAGCCUGAUCCAGCAAUGCCGCGUGCAGGAUGAAGGCCUUCGGGUUGUAAACUGCUUCUGUACGGAACGAAAAGCCCUGGGUUAAUACCCUGGGGUCAUGACGGUACCGUAAGAAUAAGCACCGGCUAACUACGUGCCAGCAGCCGCGGUAAAAC
rnacentral:rRNA from 1 species